rnacentral:rRNA from 1 species
UACGGGGGGAGCAAGCGUUGUUCGGAUUUACUGGGCGUAAAGGGCGCGUAGGCGGCGGGGCAAGUCUGAUGUGAAAUCCCGGGGCUCAACCCCGGAACUGCAUUGGAUACUGCCUUGCUAGAGUAUGGGAGAGGGAAGUGGAAUUUCCGGUGUAGCGGUGAAAUGCGUAGAUAUCGGAAGGAACAUCAGUGGCGAAAGCGACUUCCUGGACCAAUACUGACGCUCAUGUGCGAAAGCGUGGGGAGCAAACAGG